rnacentral:rRNA from 1 species
CUACGGGACGCACCAGUGGGGAAUCUUGGACAAUGGGCGCAAGCCUGAUCCAGCCAUGCCGCGUGAGUGAAGAAGGCCUUAGGGUCGUAAAGCUCUUUCGCCAGAGAUGAUAAUGACAGUAUCUGGUAAAGAAACCUCGGCGUAACUCCGUGCCAGCAGCCGCGGUAAUACGGAGGGGGUUAGCGUUGUUCGGAAUUACUGGGCGUAAAGCGCGCGUAGGCGGAUUAGUCAGUCAGAGGUGAAAUCCCAGGGCUCAACCCGGGAACUGCCUUUGAUACUGCUAGUCUUGAGUUCGAGAGAGGUGAGUGGAAUUCCGAGUGUAGAGGUGAAAUUCGUAGAUAUUCGGAGGAACACCAGUGGCGAAGGCGGCUCACUGGCUCGAUACUGACGCUGAGGUGCGAAAGUGUGGGGAGCAAACAGGAUUAGAUACCCCCGUAGUC